CCUAUCAGAAUAGUUUUUCAUUAGCAAAGAUUAAUCAUUGUGUACAGAUAUAUAUAUAUUAAAUUCUCUUCUGUAUCCUACCUCAACAACUUCUCAUCUACAACAGUGAUCUAUCUAUCUUGCGAAGUAUCGUGCACCUUUUUAUUUAUGCAUUAUGUGCUUCACUGUGAGUGAUUACAGUUAUUUUUAUGAACUGUUGAAAUUUUCCUGUAUCACAAAUUCAAAUUGAGG